rnacentral:tRNA from 1 species
AAAAAUGAAAUCACUUGAUGUUUCACUUACAAUGAAAAUUCGUAUUAACUUACCAUUUUUU